UUAAGCGACUAAGCGUACACGGUGGAUGCCCUGGCAGUCAGAGGCGAUGAAGGACGUGCUAAUCUGCGAUAAGCGUCGGUGAGGUGAUAUGAACCGUUAUAACCGGCGAUUUCCGAAUGGGGAAACCCAGUGUGUUUCGACACACUAUCAUUAACUGAAUCCAUAGGUUAAUGAGGCGAACCGGGGGAACUGAAACAUCUAAGUACCCCGAGGAAAAGAAAUCAACCGAGAUUCCCCCAGUAGCGGCGAGCGAACGGGGAGGAGCCCAGAGCCUGAAUCAGUGUGUGUGUUAGUGGAAGCGUCUGGAAAGGCGCGCGAUACAGGGUGACAGCCCCGUACACAAAAAUGCACAUAUUGUGAGCUCGAUGAGUAGGGCGGGACACGUGGUAUCCUGUCUGAAUAUGGGGGGACCAUCCUCCAAGGCUAAAUACUCCUGACUGACCGAUAGUGAACCAGUACCGUGAGGGAAAGGCGAAAAGAACCCCGGCGAGGGGAGUGAAAAAGAACCUGAAACCGUGUACGUACAAGCAGUGGGAGCCUCUUAAUGGGGUGACUGCGUACCUUUUGUAUAAUGGGUCAGCGACUUAUAUUCUGUAGCAAGGUUAACCGAAUAGGGGAGCCGAAGGGAAACCGAGUCUUAACUGGGCGUUAAGUUGCAGGGUAUAGACCCGAAACCCGGUGAUCUAGCCAUGGGCAGGUUGAAGGUUGGGUAACACUAACUGGAGGACCGAACCGACUAAUGUUGAAAAAUUAGCGGAUGACUUGUGGCUGGGGGGGAAAGGCCAAUCAAACCGGGAGAUAGCUGGUUCUCCCCGAAAGCUAUUUAGGUAGCGCCUCGUGAAUUCAUCUCCGGGGGUAGAGCACUGUUUCGGCAAGGGGGUCAUCCCGACUUACCAACCCGAUGCAAACUGCGAAUACCGGAGAAUGUUAUCACGGGAGACACACGGCGGGUGCUAACGUCCGUCGUGAAGAGGGAAACAACCCAGACCGCCAGCUAAGGUCCCAAAGUCAUGGUUAAGUGGGAAACGAUGUGGGAAGGCCCAGACAGCCAGGAUGUUGGCUUAGAAGCAGCCAUCAUUUAAAGAAAGCGUAAUAGCUCACUGGUCGAGUCGGCCUGCGCGGAAGAUGUAACGGGGCUAAACCAUGCACCGAAGCUGCGGCAGCGACACUAUGUGUUGUUGGGUAGGGGAGCGUUCUGUAAGCCUGUGAAGGUGGCCUGUGAGGGUUGCUGGAGGUAUCAGAAGUGCGAAUGCUGACAUAAGUAACGAUAAAGCGGGUGAAAAGCCCGCUCGCCGGAAGACCAAGGGUUCCUGUCCAACGUUAAUCGGGGCAGGGUGAGUCGACCCCUAAGGCGAGGCCGAAAGGCGUAGUCGAUGGGAAACAGGUUAAUAUUCCUGUACUUGGUGUUACUGCGAAGGGGGGACGGAGAAGGCUAUGUUGGCCGGGCGACGGUUGUCCCGGUUUAAGCGUGUAGGCUGGUUUUCCAGGCAAAUCCGGAAAACCAAGGCUGAGGCGUGAUGACGAGGCACUACGGUGCUGAAGCGACAAAUGCCCUGCUUCCAGGAAAAGCCUCUAAGCAUCAGGUAACAUCAAAUCGUACCCCAAACCGACACAGGUGGUCAGGUAGAGAAUACCAAGGCGCUUGAGAGAACUCGGGUGAAGGAACUAGGCAAAAUGGUGCCGUAACUUCGGGAGAAGGCACGCUGAUAUGUAGGUGAAGCGACUUGCUCGUGGAGCUGAAAUCAGUCGAAGAUACCAGCUGGCUGCAACUGUUUAUUAAAAACACAGCACUGUGCAAACACGAAAGUGGACGUAUACGGUGUGACGCCUGCCCGGUGCCGGAAGGUUAAUUGAUGGGGUUAGCGGUAACGCGAAGCUCUUGAUCGAAGCCCCGGUAAACGGCGGCCGUAACUAUAACGGUCCUAAGGUAGCGAAAUUCCUUGUCGGGUAAGUUCCGACCUGCACGAAUGGCGUAAUGAUGGCCAGGCUGUCUCCACCCGAGACUCAGUGAAAUUGAACUCGCUGUGAAGAUGCAGUGUACCCGCGGCAAGACGGAAAGACCCCGUGAACCUUUACUAUAGCUUGACACUGAACAUUGAGCCUUGAUGUGUAGGAUAGGUGGGAGGCUUUGAAGUGUGGACGCCAGUCUGCAUGGAGCCGACCUUGAAAUACCACCCUUUAAUGUUUGAUGUUCUAACGUUGGCCCCUAAUCGGGGUUGCGGACAGUGUCUGGUGGGUAGUUUGACUGGGGCGGUCUCCUCCUAAAGAGUAACGGAGGAGCACGAAGGUUGGCUAAUCCUGGUCGGACAUCAGGAGGUUAGUGCAAUGGCAUAAGCCAGCUUGACUGCGAGCGUGACGGCGCGAGCAGGUGCGAAAGCAGGUCAUAGUGAUCCGGUGGUUCUGAAUGGAAGGGCCAUCGCUCAACGGAUAAAAGGUACUCCGGGGAUAACAGGCUGAUACCGCCCAAGAGUUCAUAUCGACGGCGGUGUUUGGCACCUCGAUGUCGGCUCAUCACAUCCUGGGGCUGAAGUAGGUCCCAAGGGUAUGGCUGUUCGCCAUUUAAAGUGGUACGCGAGCUGGGUUUAGAACGUCGUGAGACAGUUCGGUCCCUAUCUGCCGUGGGCGCUGGAGAACUGAGGGGGGCUGCUCCUAGUACGAGAGGACCGGAGUGGACGCAUCACUGGUGUUCGGGUUGUCAUGCCAAUGGCACUGCCCGGUAGCUAAAUGCGGAAGAGAUAAGUGCUGAAAGCAUCUAAGCACGAAACUUGCCCCGAGAUGAGUUCUCCCUGAGACUUAGAGUCUCCUGAAGGAACGUUGAAGACGACGACGUUGAUAGGCCGGGUGUGUAAGCGCAGCGAUGCGUUGAGCUAACCGGUACUAAUGAACCGUGAGGCUUAACCUU
rnacentral:rRNA from 2 species